rnacentral:rRNA from 1 species
AAUGUCCCGCAAGGGACUAGUAGAGUGGCAAACGGGUGAGUAACACGUGGGUGACCUGCCUUCGAGUGGGGGAUAACGUCCCGAAAGGGACGCUAAUACCGCAUGACAUCCUGCCCUUGAACGGGUGGAGAUCAAAGCCGGGGAUCGCAAGACCUGGCGCUUGGAGAGGGGCCCGCGUCCGAUUAGCUAGUUGGUGAGGUAACGGCUCACCAAGGCGACGAUCGGUAUCCGGCCUGAGAGGGCGGACGGACACACUGGGACUGAGACACGGCCCAGACUCCUACGGGAGGCAGCAGUGGGGAAUUGUUCGCAAUGGGCGCAAGCCUGACGACGCAACGCCGCGUGGAGGAUGAAGAUCUUCGGGUCGUAAACUCCUUUCGAUUGAGACGAACGGCUCCCGUGCUAAUCAGCGGGAGAAUGACGGUACCGAGAGAAGAAGCCCCGGCUAACUCCGUGCCAGCAGCCGCGGUAAUACGGGGGGGGCAAGCGUUGUUCGGAAUUACUGGGCGUAAAGGGCUCGUAGGCGGCCAACUAAGUCAGACGUGAAAUCCCUCGGCUUAACCGGGGAACUGCGUCUGAUACUGGAUGGCUUGAGGUUGGGAGAGGGAUGCGGAAUUCCAGGUGUAGCGGUGAAAUGCGUAGAUAUCUGGAGGAACACCGGUGGCGAAGGCGGCAUCCUGGACCAAUUCUGACGCUGAGGAGCGAAAGCCAGGGGAGCAAACGGGAUUAGAUACCCCGGUAGUCCUGGCCCUAAACGAUGAAUGCUUGGUGUGGCGGGUAUCGAUCCCUGCCGUGCC